rnacentral:tRNA from 1 species
ACGAUAGUAAGCUAAACUUAAGCUCUUAGACUCAUAAUCUAAUAAUGAAUAAUUUCCUUUCGUA